GGCGGUGUAGCUCAGAUGGUUAGAGCGACGGACUCAUAACCCGUAGGUCACAGGUUCGAUUCCUGUCACCGCCACCA
rnacentral:tRNA from 1 species